rnacentral:rRNA from 1 species
AGUGGGGAAUCUUGGACAAUGGGCGCAAGCCUGAUCCAGCCAUGCCGCGUGAGUGAUGAAGGCCUUAGGGUUGUAAAACUCUUUCGUCGGGGACGAUAAUGACGGUACCCGAAGAAGAAGCCCCGGCUAACUUCGUGCCAGCAGCCGCGGUAAUACGAAGGGGGCUAGCGUUGUUCGGAUUUACUGGGCGUAAAGCGCGUGUAGGCGGGCUGGUAAGUUGGGGGUGAAAUCCCGAGGCUCAACCUCGGAACUGCCUCCAAAACUGUCAGCCUGGACUCAAGUAGAGGCAAGUGGAAUUGCGAGUGUAGAGGUGAAAUUCGUAGAUAUUCGCAGGAACACCAGUGGCGAAGGCGACUUGCUGGACUUGUAGUGACGCUGAGACGCGAAAGCGUGGGGAGCAAA